AAAGCACAACUCAAGUGCGUCUCAGCAUCCUCCCUUGAAUCCGUACUACUCUGUUAACAGAAAUCCUUGUGAAGACAGGCUAGCUCUGAGCAAGGUGCAGCUCAGUAACAGUAGAGCCAAACUUACCUAUUCGAAUAUAAAGUAUUUUUAUUCUGAGCUGCAUCAUCCUUAGGGAAAUAGUAAAAGUGCCUUUUCUAGCAAUUAACUGGAAAACAGGUGUCUGUAACUUCACUUAUCUUCCUUAGUGGAAAGGAAGAGGAGAAUCAAGAAGAGGAAAGAUGAAAUAUGUAUAAAGAAAAAAAAGAAGGAAAAGAAUUUUCUACAGAAUAUACAGUGCUGUCUUGUCCCUUCUGGAUCACGGCUAUAUUUGCAGUGUGCAGCGGAGGAAAACCAGCCUAAGAAGAACCAGCAGCAGGGCUCUGAAGCCAGAAUGCGCAGUGUGGGCUAUUUCCUGCACAUGUCCCAGCAGAGUACUGUUGGGAAUGCACGCACAGCUAACCAGUCCCACUGCUCAUUGAAUUUAUUUAUCUGGAAAGGAAAACGUCUGGGAAGAGAACUGUGA
rnacentral:lncRNA from 1 species